GCCGGGCGCGGUGGCUCACGCCUGUAAUCCCAGCACUUUGGGAGGCCGAGGCGGGCUGAUCACGAGGUCAGGAGAUCCAGACAAUCCUGGCUAACACAGUGAAACCCCGUCUCCACUAAAAAUACAAAAAAUUACCCGNNNNNNNNNNGCCCGGCUAAUUUUUUGUAUUUUUAGUGGAGACGGGGUUUCACUGUGUUAGCCAGGAUUGUCUGGAUCUCCUGACCUCGUGAUCAGCCCGCCUCGG
rnacentral:SRP_RNA from 1 species